UAAGACAGAGGGUGCAAACGUUGCUCGGAUUUACUGGGCGUAAAGCGCGUGUAGGCGGGCGAAUAAGUCGGGUGUGAAAUCCCUGGGCUCAACCUAGGAACUGCAUCCGAAACUGUUCACCUGGAGUGAUGGAGAGGAAGGCGGAAUUCCCGGUGUAGAGGUGAAAUUCGUAGAUAUCGGGAGGAACACCAGUGGCGAAGGCGGCCUUCUGGACAUUUACUGACGCUGAGACGCGAAAGCGUGGGGAGCAAACAGG
rnacentral:rRNA from 1 species